UGGGGAAUAUUGCGCAAUGGGCGAAAGCCUGACGCAGCGACGCCGCGUGAGGGAUGAAGGUCUUCGGAUCGUAAACCUCUGUCAGAAGGGAAGAACGUACUGUGUGCUAAUCAGCGCAGUAGUGACGGUACCUUCAAAGGAAGCACCGGCUAACUCCGUGCCAGCAGCCGCGGUAAUACGGAGGGUGCAAGCGUUAAUCGGAAUCACUGGGCGUAAAGCGCACGUAGGCUGUCGUGUAAGUCAGGGGUGAAAGCCCACGGCUCAACCGUGGAAUUGCCCUUGAUACUGCAUGACUAGAAUCCGGGAGAGGGUGGCGGAAUUCCAGGUGUAGGAGUGAAAUCCGUAGAUAUCUGGAGGAACAUCAGUGGCGAAGGCGGCCACCUGGACCGGUAUUGACGCUGAGGUGCGAAAGCGUGGGGAGCAAACAG
rnacentral:rRNA from 1 species